GGGGGAAUAGCUCAGUGGUAGAGCGCUGGAUUCCAGACCCAGCGGUCGGGGGUUCGAUCCCCUCUUCCCUCA
rfam:Pythium ultimum DAOM BR144 ctg_1117875573214, whole genome shotgun sequence.